CCACAAGGGGUGGACGUUGCGGCUUAAUCGGAUUCAACGCCGGAAACCUUACCGGGGCUGACGGCAGGAUGAAGGUCGGGCUGACGACCCUACCUGACGAGCCGAGAGGAGGUGCAUGGCCGUCGCCGGUGCGUGCCGUGAGGUGUCYUGUUAAGUCAGGCAACGGACGAGACCCGCGCCCCCAGUUGCCAGCGGCCGAGAGGCGCCGGGCACUCUGGGGGGACUGCCCCCGAAAGGGGGAGGAAGGAGCGGGCUACGGCAGGUCGGUAUGCCCCGAAUGCCCCGGGCCGCACGCGACGUUCAAUGGCGGGGACAGCGGGAUGCGACCCCGAAAGGGGGAGCCAAUCCCUAAACCCCGCCUCAGUAGGGAUCGAGGGUUGCAACUCGCCCUCGUGAACGCGGAAUCCCUAGUAACCGCGCGUUAACACCGCGCGGUGAAUACGUCCCCGCUCCUUGCACACACCGCCCGUCA
rnacentral:rRNA from 1 species